UACGUAGGGUGCGAGCGUUGUCCGGAAUUACUGGGCGUAAAGAGCUCGUAGGUGGUUUGUCGCGUUGUUCGUGAAAUCUCACGGCUUAACUGUGAGCGUGCGGGCGAUACGGGCAGACUAGAGUACUGCAGGGGAGACUGGAAUUCCUGGUGUAGCGGUGGAAUGCGCAGAUAUCAGGAGGAACACCGGUGGCGAAGGCGGCUUCCUGGACACUAACUGACGCUGAGACGCGAAAGCGUGGGGAGCAAACAGG
rnacentral:rRNA from 1 species